GGCGGCAGGGUAGCCUAGUGGUUAGAGUGUAGAGGUGGCAGGGUAGCCUAGUGGUUAGAGUGUAGAGGUGGCAGGGUAGCCUAGUGGUUAGAGUGUAGAGGUGGCAGGGUAGCCUAGUGGUUAGAGUGUAGAGGUGGCAGGGUAGCCUAGUGGUUAGAGUGUAGAGGUGGCAGGGUAGCCUAGUGGUUAGAGUGUAGAGGUGGCAGGGUAGCCUAGUGGUUAGAGUGUAGAGGUGGCAGGGUAGCCUAGUGGUUAGAGUGGAGGCCUAGUGGUUAGGGGCGGCAGGGGAGGGGCGGCAGGGUAGCCUAGUGGUUAGAGUGUAGAGGUGGCAGGGUAGCCUAGUGGUUAGAGUGGAGGGGCGGCAGGGUAGCCUAGUGGUUAGAGU
ensembl:lncRNA